GUCUACGGCCAUGCCAUCCUGAACAAGCCUGAUCCCGUCUGAUCUCAGAAGCUAAGCAGGAUCGGGCCUGGUUAGUACUUGGAUGGGAGACCACCUAGGAAGACCAGGUGCUGUAAGUG
rnacentral:rRNA from 1 species